rnacentral:rRNA from 1 species
UACAUAUGGUGCAAGCGUUAUCCGGAUUUACUGGGCGUAAAGGGAGCGCAGGCGGCGCGCCAAGUCUGAUGUGAAACCCCGGGGCUCAACCCCGGGCAUGCAUUGGAAACUGGCGGGCUGGAGUGCCGGAGAGGUAAGCGGAACUCCUAGUGUAGCGGUGAAAUGCGUAGAUAUUAGGAGGAACACCAGUGGCGAAGGCGGCUUACUGGACGGCAACUGACGCUGAGGCUCGAAAGCGUGGGGAGCAAACAGG